ensembl:lncRNA
UUCCAGGUGGCAACAAUUGCAGCUGUUAAACAUCUGCUUUUAGAACCUUUGAAUGAUUUGAGUGAUGAGGAGAUCAAGAAAUUUAAGAGGCUCCUGCAGAUGAUCAUUCCUUGGAGGAAUCGGUCAUUCUUCUCAUAUAACUUGAGUCGGUCAUCAAUCAUAGCAGAUUUAAUGAAUCUGAUGAUGGAUAAAGUUGGUCAGCAGUCUGUGGAGGUGACCAGAGAAGUUUUCAUGCGCAUGAACAGAACUGAUCUGGUGCAGAAGUUAUCAGAGAGCAGCUCAGCAUCCAGAGUCUGGCCGAGCACUUAUUUUUGAGUCAAAGGUGGCCUUGCUCUAGAAGCCUUCAUUAUUAAAAGAAACACUCUGUGGAUGAACAUGGAGCUGCACUGUUGAAGAGAAUAGAAGCACAGGAAGCUGUUACACAGAUUCUCUUGGAAACACUGAAUGAAUUCAGUCAAAAUGACCUCAAGAAAUUCAAGCAGGUGCUGCCGUUCAC